CAAUAUGAAUGGUACAGAGAAGGUGAUAAAACUUUUCUGAUGAUGAUUCAAGAACAAAAAGAUACUAAAGGCUUGUCUACACAGCACAGCAAAGCACUUUAGAGGGCUAAAGCCUUGGUCCUGAAACUUUAAAGUCAGCUGGAAGAAGACAACAAGUGUGGAAAAUUUCAGCUCAAAUGCUUGAACUAUAUGACAAGUGUGUCCAACUUACCCAGUUUUGGGGCUUGUCUACAUUACCUGCUGGAUCAACGGGCAGCAAUCGAUCUAAUGGGGGGGUCGAUUUAGUGCGUCUAAUCUAGA